rnacentral:rRNA from 1 species
AUUGAACGCUGGCGGCAGGCCUAACACAUGCAAGUCGAACGAGUGGCGGACGGGUGAGUAAUGUCUGGGAAACUGCCUGAUGGAGGGGGAUAACUACUGGAAACGGUAGCUAAUACCGCAUACCAUCAGAUGUGCCCAGAUGGGAUUAGCUAGUUGGUGGGGUAACGGCUCACCAAGGCGACGAUCCCUAGCUGGUCUGAGAGGAUGACGGGCAACACUGGAACUGAGACACGGUCCAGACCCCUACGGGAGGCGGCAGUGGGAAAUAUUGCACAAUGGGCGCAAGCCUGAUGCGUCCAUGCCGCGUGUAUGAGGAGGGCCUUCGGGUUGUAAAGUACUUUCAGCGGGGAGGCGUUACCCGCAGAAGAAGCACCGGCUAACUCCGUGCCAGCAGCCGCGGUAAUUC